rnacentral:rRNA from 1 species
AUUGCCUCAGUAACGGCGAGUGAAGCGGCAACAGCUCAAAUUUGAAAUCUGGCUCUUUCAGGGUCCGAGUUGUAAUUUGUAGAAGAUGCUUCGGGUGUGGUUCCGGUCUAAGUUCCUUGGAACAGGACGUCAUAGAGGGUGAGAAUCCCGUAUGUGACCGGCUACCUUCGCUCAUGUGAAGCUCUUUCGACGAGUCGAGUUGUUUGGGAAUGCAGCUCAAAAUGGGUGGUAAAUUUCAUCUAAAGCUAAAUAUUGGCCAGAGACCGAUAGCGCACAAGUAGAGUGAUCGAAAGAUGAAAAGCACUUUGGAAAGAGAGUUAAAUAGUACGUGAAAUUGUUGAAAGGGAAGCGCUUGCAAUCAGACUUGCACGCAGUUGAUCAUCCGGUGUUCUCACCGGUGCACUCUGCUGCGUUCAGGCCAGCAUCGGUUCUGGUGGUUGGAUAAAGGCCUUGGGAAUGUAGCUCCUUUCGGGGAGUGUUAUAGCCCUCGGUGCAAUGCAGCCUACCGGGACCGAGGACCGCGCUUCGGCUAGGAUGCUGGCGUAAUGGUUGUAAGCGACCCGUCUUGAAACACGGACCAAGGAGUCUAACAUCUAUGCGAGUGUUUGGGUGUCAAACCCAUACGCGUAAUGAAAGUGAACGGAGGUGAGAACCCUUAAGGGUGCAUCAUCGACCGAUCCUGAUGUCUUCGGAUGGAUUUGAGUAAGAGCAUAGCUGUUGGGACCCGAAAGAUGGUGAACUAUGCGUGAAUAGGGUGAAGCCAGAGGAAACUCUGGUGGAGGCUCGCAGCGGUUCUGACGUGCAAAUCGAUCGUCAAAUUUGCGCAUAGGGGCGAAAGACUAAUCGAACCAUCUA